UACGGGGGGAGCAAGCGUUGUUCGGAUUUACUGGGCGUAAAGGGCGCGUAGGCGGCCAGCACAAGUCAGUUGUGAAAUCUCCGAGCUUAACUCGGAAAGGUCAACUGAUACUGUGCGGCUAGAGUGCGGAAGGGGCAACUGGAAUUCUUGGUGUAGCGGUGAAAUGCGUAGAUAUCAAGAGGAACACCUGCGGCGAAGGCGGGUUGCUAGGCUGACACUGACGCUGAGUGCGCGAAAGCCAGGGGAGCAAACGGG
rnacentral:rRNA from 1 species